rnacentral:RNase_P_RNA from 1 species
UAAGCUGAAUGGACGCGGUGCAGUGACCCAAAAGGCCUGCGCUGAGGAAAGUCCGGGCUUCACAGGGCAGGGUGCCGGCUAACGGCCGGUGAGAGUGAUCUUAAGGAAAGUGCCACAGAAAUAAACCGCCUAAGCGCGCAAGCGCCGGCAAGGAUGGAACGGUGCGGUAAGAGCGCACCAGCGGCCGGGUGACCGGCCGGCUAGGUAAACCCCACCUGAAGCAAGGCCAAAUGCAGGCGCAUAGGGCUGCCCGUCCUGCCUGCAUAAAAGGGCCGCAGGAGGCGGCUGGCAACAGUCGUACCAGAUAGAUGUCCGUUCACGACAGAACCCGGCUUACAGGCUUG